rnacentral:rRNA from 1 species
UACAGAGGUCUCAAGCGUUGUUCGGAUUCAUUGGGCGUAAAGGGUGUGUAGGUGGCGCCGUUAGUCGGGUGUGAAAUUUCGGAGCUUAACUCCGAAACUGCAUUCGAUACUGCGGUGCUUGAGGACUGGAGAGGAGACUGGAAUUUACGGUGUAGCGGUGAAAUGCGCGAUAUCAGGAGGAACACCGGUGGCGAAGGCGGGUCUCUGGGCAGUAACUGACGCUGAGGAGCGAAAGCGUGGG